CAGGCUCUCAGCCUUCGACCCAACACGGCCUCGUGCCCUUGAGUGUUCACGGUUUGGUGGCGUGUAUCUGUCCAACUCCAUGACGGUUGUGGAGCACGAUACAGGAGGUCUCUGUCUUCCCAUUUCCUUCUUCUGUUGGCCAGAACAUCCUUUUGUGGGAGAUGAGCGUACAAGGAUACCAGCACUCUGCGGCGGCCAAUUCCACCAGUUUGCUUGCGUGGCAGCUCGCCAUCGUUCCCAGGCAUUCUCGCGGUGGAAAUCACAGAGGGCAAUUUGAGAUUCUGGGUACACUCUCUUAAUUGCAUUGAUC